rnacentral:rRNA from 1 species
UACGUAGGGUGCGAGCGUUAAUCGGAAUUACUGGGCGUAAAGCGUGCGCAGGCGGUUUUGUAAGCCAGAUGUGAAAGCCCCGGGCUCAACCUGGGAAUGGCAUUUGGGACUGCAAGGCUUGAGUGCGGCAGAGGAGACUGGAAUUCCUGGUGUAGCAGUGAAAUGCGUAGAUAUCGGGAGGAACACCGGUGGCGAAGGCGGCGAUCUGGGUAGAUACUGACGCUGAGGUGCGAAAGCGUGGGGAGCAAACAGG